rnacentral:rRNA from 1 species
UACAGAGGGUGCAAGCGUUGUUCGGAAUUAUUGGGCGUAAAGCGCGUGUAGGCGGCUUUGCAAGUCGGGUGUGAAAGCCCUCAGCUUAACUGAGGAGGUGCGCCCGAAACUGCAGAGCUUGAGUACCGGAGAGGGUGGCGGAAUUCCCCAAGUAGAGGUGAAAUUCGUAGAUAUGGGGAGGAACACCGGUGGCGAAGGCGGCCACCUGGACGGAUACUGACGCUGAGACGCGAAAGCGUGGGUAGCAAACAGG